rnacentral:lncRNA from 1 species
CUAUUAGUGGCCUAAACAUACAGAAGAAGUAAUAAAACAUUUUUUUUAAGUAAAUGUAUUACUCCUGAUGUCACAUGUUGCCAUGGAAACGUCCAAUGACAAACGGCUGAGGUGCCCCAUGACAGAGAAGAGAAGACACAGUUGGUGAGACAGUUGUGCUAAAGGCAAGAGGGGGAAAUCCCUCGGAGCGAGAGAGAGAGAGAGAGAGACAUAAUAUGACAUUUGAAAUGUCUCUAUUAUUUUGGAACUUCCAAGGGAUAUGCCUUUCGGUAUUGUUCUUGCCUGGGAGGGAAAAUGUCACAGCAGUGGCGCUGGUGCUGGCGCUGCUUUGGAGCGGAUCUGACACUCCGCAGAGGGAGGUCAAAGGCCACUAACAGAGUGGUUGGAACAAAACAGAAGCAGUGGGUGGUCCGGGGGAAGAUGGCUGACUCACCUCUGGUGGUCCAACAUCAAGAGGACUGGAGGACAAAGACAAUAAUACAUGGAGCAGCUUCCUGGACUCUCUGUCUACUCUGGCUGCACAGGAAAUGGAGCAGCUCCCUGGACUCUGUCUAAACUGGCUGCACAGGAAAGGGAGCAGCUCCUUAGACUCUGUCUACUCUGGCUGUACAGGAAAUGGAGCAGCCCCCUGGACUCUGUCUACUCUGGCUGCACAGGAAAUGGAGCAGCUUCCUGGAUUCUGUAUACUCUGGCUGCACAGGAAAUGGAGCAGCUCCCUGGACUCUGUCUACUCCGGCUGCACAGGAAAUGAAGCAGCUUCCUGGAUUCUGUAUACUCUGGCUGCACAGGAAAUGGAGCAGCUUCCUGGAUUCUGUAUACUCUGGCUGCACAGGAAAGGGAGCAGCUUCCUGGAUUCGGUAUACUCUAGC